GCAGCCGCGGUAAUUCCAGCUCCAAUAGCGUAUAUUAAAGUUGUUGCAGUUAAAAAGCUCGUAGUUGAAUUUCGGGAUCAGUUGGUCGGUCGUGCCUCGGUACGUACUGGUCAAAUUGAUUCCUACCUUCUGACGAACCACGAUGUCAUUAAUUUGGUGUCGUGGGAAAUCAGGACUGUUACUUUGAAAAAAUUAGAGUGUUUAAAGCAGGCUCGCGCUUGAAUACAUUAGCAUGGAAUAAUGAAAUAGGACGUUUGAUUCUAUUUUGUUGGUUUCUAGGAUCGACGUAAUGAUUAAUAGGGAUAGUUGGGGGCAUUAGUAUUCAAUUGUCAGAGGUGAAAUUCUUGGAUUUAUUGAAGACUAACUACUGCGAAAGCAUUUGCCAAGGAUGUUUUCAUUAAUCAAGAACGAAAGUUAGGGGAUCGAAGACGAUCAGAUACCGUCGUAGUCUUAACCAUAAACUAUGCCGACUAGGGAUCGGAUGAUGUUAAUUUUUUAAUGACUCA
rnacentral:rRNA from 1 species